ACACUCCUGCGGGAGGCAGCAGUGGGGAAUAUUGCACAAUGGGCGCAAGCCUGAUGCAGCCAUGCCGCGUGUAUGAAGAAGGCCUUCGGGUUGUAAAGUACUUUCAGCGGGGAGGAAGGCGAUAAGGUUAAUAACCUUGUUGAUUGACGUUACCCGCAGAAGAAGCACCGGCUAACUCCGUGCCAGCAGCCGCGGUAAUACGGAGGGUGCAAGCGUUAAUCGGAAUUACUGGGCGUAAAGCGCACGCAGGCGGUCUGUCAAGUCGGAUGUGAAAUCCCCGGGCUCAACCUGGGAACUGCAUUCGAAACUGGCAGGCUAGAGUCUUGUAGAUGGGGGUAGAAUUCCAGGUGUAGCGGUGAAAUGCGUAGAGAUCUGGAGGAAUACCGGUGGCGAAGGCGGCCCCCUGGACAAAGACUGACGCUCAGGUGCGAAAGCGUGGGGAGCAAACAGGAGUAGAAACCCGAGUAGUCCCAUGAU
rnacentral:rRNA from 1 species